rnacentral:rRNA from 1 species
UUCGCCCUUAGAGUUUGAUCCUGGCUCAGGAUGAACGCUGGCGGCGUGCCUAACACAUGCAAGUCGAACGAAGCACUUUCUGCUCUUCGGAAUGGGAAGUGACUGAGUGGCGGACGGGUGAGUAACGCGUGGGUAACCUGCCUCAUACAGGGGGAUAACAGUUGGAAACGACUGCUAAUACCGCAUAAGCGCACAGUGUCGCAUGACACAGUGUGAAAAGUUUUUUCGGUAUGAGAUGGACCCGCGUCUGAUUAGCUGGUUGGUGAGGUAACGGCUCACCAAGGCGACGAUCAGUAGCCGGCCUGAGAGGGUGGACGGCCACAUUGGGACUGAGACACGGCCCAAACUCCUACGGGAGGCAGCAGUGGGGAAUAUUGCACAAUGGGGGAAACCCUGAUGCAGCAACGCCGCGUGAAGGAAGACGGUUUUCGGAUUGUAAACUUCUUUUCUUUGUGAAGAAACAAAUGACGGUAGCAAAGGAAUAAGCAUCGGCUAACUACGUGCCAGCAGCCGCGGUAAUACGUAGGAUGCAAGCGUUAUCCGGAUUUACUGGGCGUAAAGGGAGCGCAGGCGGGACUUCAAGUUGGAUGUGAAAUGUCAAGGCUUAACCAUGGCACUGCAUCCAAAACUGUAGUUCUUGAGUGGAGUAGAGGUAAGCGGAAUUCCGAGUGUAGCGGUGAAAUGCGUAGAUAUUCGGAGGAACACCAGUGGCGAAGGCGGCUUACUGGGCUCUAACUGACGCUGAGGCUCGAAAGUGUGGGGAGCAAACAGGAUUAGAUACCCUGGUAGUCCACACUGUAAACGAUGAUAGCUAGGUGUGGGGGGUCUGACCCCUUCCGUGCCGGAGUUAACGCAAUAAGCUAUCCACCUGGGGAGUACGAUCGCAAGAUUGAAACUCAAAGGAAUUGACGGGGGCCCGCACAAGCAGUGGAUUAUGUGGUUUAAUUCGAAGCAACGCGAAGAACCUUACCAGGUCUUGACAUCCAACUAACGAGAUAGAGAUAUGUUAGGUGCCCUUCGGGGAAAGUUGAGACAGGUGGUGCAUGGUUGUCGUCAGCUCGUGUCGUGAGAUGUUGGGUUAAGUCCCGCAACGAGCGCAACCCCUAUCCUAUGUUACCAGCGGGUAAUGCCGGGGACUCAUAGGAGACUGCCAAGGACAACUUGGAGGAAGGCGGGGAUGACGUCAAGUCAUCAUGCCCCUUAUGUCUUGGGCUACACACGUACUACAAUGGUCGGCAACAGAGGGAAGCGAAGCCGUGAGGCAGAGCAAACCCCAGAAACCCGAUCUCAGUUUGGAUUGCAGGCUGCAACUCGCCUGCAUGAAGUCGGAAUCGCUAGUAAUCGCAGGUCAGCAUACUGCGGUGAAUACGUUCCCGGGCCUUGCACACACCGCCCGUCA